rnacentral:rRNA from 1 species
AAGCGCAUGCAGGUGGUUUGUUAAGUCAGAUGUGAAAGCCCGGGGCUCAACCUCGGAACCGCAUUUGAAACUGGCAGACUAGAGUGCUGUAGAGGGGGGUAGAAUUUCAGGUGUAGCGGUGAAAUGCGUAGAGAUCUGAAGGAAUACCAGUGGCGAAGGCGGCCCCCUGGACAGACACUGACACUCAGAUGCGAAAGCGUGGGGAGCAAACAGGAUUAGAUACCCUGGUAGUCCACGCCGUAAACGAUGUCUACUUGGAGGUUGUGGCCUUGAGCCGUGGCUUUCGGAGCUAACGCGUUAAGUAGACCGCCUGGGGAGUACGGUCGCAAGAUUAAAACUCAAAUGAAUUGACGGGGGCCCGCACAAGCGGUGGAGCAUGUGGUUUAAUUCGAUGCAACGCGAAGAACCUUACCUACUCUUGACAUCCAGAGAAUUCGCUAGAGAUAGCUUAGUGCCUUCGGGAACUCUGAGACAGGUGCUGCAUGGCUGUCGUCAGCUCGUGUUGUGAAAUGUUGGGUUAAGUCCCGCAACGAGCGCAACCCUUAUCCUUGUUUGCCAGCACGUAAUGGUGGGAACUCCAGGGAGACUGCCGGUGAUAAACCGGAGGAAGGUGGGGACGACGUCAAGUCAUCAUGGCCCUUACGAGUAGGGCUACACACGUGCUACAAUGGCGCAUACAGAGGGCUGCAAGCUAGCGAUAGUGAGCGAAUCCCAAAAAGUGCGUCGUAGUCCGGAUCGGAGUCUGCAACUCGACUCCGUGAAGUCGGAAUCGCUAGUAAUCGUAGAUCAGAAUGCUACGGUGAAUACGUUCCCGGGCCUUGUACACACCGCCCGUCACACCAUGGGAGUGGGCUGCAAAAGACAGUGGG